UUUUCUCACUCGUUCUUGCAUCUUUCUCUGUCACACUUUAUCUUUCUCCAUCUCUCUUCCUCUUUCGUCCGCUAACUGUCAAUCUCUAGCACCACUUGAAGGUGACGUGUACUAUCUGGUAUUGAGGCCUUUAUUAGACAUUUAUUUCAGUUUGUGUGGUGUUUGUUCAAUGCUACUGAGAUGGAAAAAUGCUCGUCUCAUAAUAAUAUUAUUAUUAUUGCUUUGGCAUUAUGGUAAAAAAAAAAAGAGAAACGUGUUGUUGAAUGUUGUACAGAUAGCACUAGAAAUGUUGUGGUCUUUUGUUUUUAAUGAGAGCACAAACCCGAGCGAUGGUCCUUUCUACUCCUCCCUCUAGCAGAUGGGAAUAAAGCAAAAUGCCAAUCAUUUUUGUCGUCCAAUGACAAAUUACUUUGUUGAUGACAGAUUU